GUGCGCGUGUGUGUAACCUGGAUGUUGAGGCUGGACACGACCACGUCUCCUGUCGGCGUGAUGAUCGGCAGAUUCUCACAUCGAAUACCCUUCUCCACACUGACUACCUGACCUGCAGCAGGAUGACAUGACAACACAAAGAGCUCAGUGCUCCCUAGGCUACCAACCUCCGCUGUUUUCCUCAGAAGAGAGCGAGAUAGCAGUCCCCUCUGUGCAGAACCACAUGCGGCGGCGUUCCAAGAUCUGGAGACAGGCCUGCUCCGUUCUGCUCCACGCCCACACAAGGUCUUGGUUGUAAGCCAACUGUCGCCGCACCACUGCGCCUGCUUACGCUGUUGGCCAGAAGGUGUGGUAAUGUGCCAAGACUUUGCCAAUUAAGGUGGACUCCAGAAAAUUGGCUCCCCGGUUCAUUGGCCCUGAUGAGAUCGCGGCCUUGGUGAACCAAUGUGCUGUUAUCGAUGGGGAGGCUGCCUACUUGGUGAACAAGCUGCUGGAUGUCCGUCGCCGUGGGAGGGGCUUCCACUACCUGGUUGACUUGGAGGGCUAUGGACCAGAGGAGCGGAGCUGGGUCUCCUGCCCAGCAGGUUCUGAGCAAGGUCCUGAGCCGUGACUUCCAUCGUCGGCACCUGGGACUCUCGGGUUGUGCGCAGGGUGGCGCACGUAGGGGUCGGGGUACUGUCAGGGCUGCUGCCCCUCUGUGUGUGUGUGUGUGUGUGUGCUCGCAGGUGCAGGAGUACAAGUGGAGAGACGAGUUGGAGCUAUGAUUCAUUAUCAUCAACGGUGUACUUAAGUCGGUCCCUAACGCCACCUCGUUGCCAGAUCAUCUUGUAUAGUCACACUAAUCUCCACGCCUGCUUCCUUGUCUGCACACCUGCUUGCCUGCGGAGUCCCUCCACGCCUGCCUACUUGCCUGCAGACCUUCUUGUCGACUGAAGCCCUCUACGCCAGUUUCUUCACCUUCACACCUGCCUGCCC